UGCAGUGGGUACGGGCAGACUAGAGUGCGGUAGGGGAGAUUGGAAUUCCUGGUGUAGCGGUGGAAUGCGCAGAUAUCAGGAGGAACACCGAUGGCGAAGGCAGAUCUCUGGGCCGUAACUGACGCUGAGGAGCGAAAGCAUGGGGAGCGAACAGGAUUAGAUACCCUGGUAGUCCAUGCCGUAAACGUUGGGCGCUAGAUGUAGGGACCUUUCCACGGUUUCUGUGUCGUAGCUAACGCAUUAAGCGCCCCGCCUGGGGAGUACGGCCGCAAGGCUAAAACUCAAAGGAAUUGACGGGGGCCCGCACAAGCGGCGGAGCAUGCGGAUUAAUUCGAUGCAACGCGAAGAACCUUACCAAGGCUUGACAUACACCGGAAACGGCCAGAGAUGGUCGCCCCCUUGUGGUCGGUGUACAGGUGGUGCAUGGUUGUCGUCAGCUCGUGUCGUGAGAUGUUGGGUUAAGUCCCGCAACGAGCGCAACCCUUCGUUCUAUGUUGCCAGCGCGUUAUGGCGGGGACUCAUAGGAGACUGCCGGGGUCAACUCGGAGGAAGGUGGGGAUGACGUCAAAUCAUCAUGCCCCUUAUGUCUUGGGCUUCACGCAUGCUACAAUGGCCGGUACAAAGGGCUGCGAUACCGUAAGGUGGAGCGAAUCCC
rnacentral:rRNA from 1 species